UACGAAGGGGGCUAGCGUUGCUCGGAAUCACUGGGCGUAAAGGGUGCGUAGGCGGGUCUUUAAGUCAGGGGUGAAAUCCUGGAGCUCAACUCCAGAACUGCCCUUUGAUACUGAGGAUCUUGAGUUCGGGAGAGGUGAGUGGAACUGCGAGUGUAGAGGUGAAAUUCGUAGAUAUUCGCAAGAACACCAGUGGCGAAGGCGGCUCACUGGCCCGAUACUGACGCUGAGGCACGAAAGCGUGGGGAGCAAACAGG
rnacentral:rRNA from 1 species